AUUGAACGCUGGCGGCAGGCCUAACACAUGCAAGUCGAACGAGUGGCGGACGGGUGAGUAAUGUCUGGGGAACUGCCCGAUGGAGGGGGAUAACUACUGGAAACGGUAGCUAAUACCGCAUACCAUCGGAUGUGCCCAUAUGGGAUUAGCUAGUAGGUGGGGUAACGGCUCACCUAGGCGACGAUCUCUAGCUGGUCUGAGAGGAUGAACAGCCACACUGGAACUGAGACACGGUCCAGACUCCGACGGGAGGCAGCAGGGGGGAAUAUUGCACAAUGGGAGCAAGCCUGAUGCAGCCAUGCCGCGUGUAUGAAGAAGGCCUUCGGGUUGUAAAGUACUUUCAGCGAGGAGGCGUUACCCGCAGAAGAAGCACCGGCUAACUCCGUGCCAGCAGCCGCGGUAAUUC
rnacentral:rRNA from 1 species